UUGAACGCUGGCGGAAUGCUUUACACAUGCAAGUCGAGCGGCAGCGCGGGGGCAACCCUGGUGGCGAGCGGCGAACGGGUGAGUAACACAUCGGAACGUACCCAGUUGUGGGGGAUAGCCCUGCGAAAGCCGGAUUAAUACCGCAUACGACCUGAGGGUGAAAGGGGGGGAUCGCAAGACCUCUCGCAGUUGGAGCGGCCGAUGGCGGAUUAGCUAGUUGGUGGGGUAAAGGCCUACCAAGGCGACGACCCGUAGCUGGUCUGAGAGGACGACCAGCCACACUGGAACGGAGACACGGUCCAGACUCCUACGGGGGGCAGCAGUGGGGAAUUUUGGACAAUGGGGGAAACCCUGAUCCAGCCAUUCCGCGUGAGUGAAGAAGGCCUUCGGGUUGUAAAGCUCUUUCAGCAGGAGCGAAACGGUCGGCUUUAAUACAGUCGGCUAAUGACGGUACCUGCAGAAGAAGCACCGGCUAACUACGU
rnacentral:rRNA from 1 species